rnacentral:rRNA from 1 species
GCUCAAUUUGAAGCUGGCGUCUUCGGCGUCCGCGUUGUAAUCUCGAGACGUGUUUUCCGUGCGGCUCUAUGGACAAGUCCCUUGGAACAGGGCAUCGUAGAGGGUGAAAAUCCCGUACUUGCCAUGGAAGAACCGUGCUUUGUGAUACACGCUCCAAGAGUCGAGUAGUUUGGGAUUGCUGCUCAAAGUGGGUGGUAGACUCCAUCUAAAGCUAAAUAUCGGGGAGAGACCGAUAGCGAACAAGUACCGUGAGGGAAAGAUGAAAAGCACUUUGGAAAGAGAGUUAAAAGUACGUGAAAUUGUCGAAAGGGAAGCACUUGAAGUCAGCCAUGCUGCUUGAGACUCAGCCUGGCUUUUGCUUGGGGUAUUUCUCGGGAGCAAGCCCCCAUUGUGUUGUGUCGCGUCAGAAACGCACGGAGAAUGUGGAAUCCUCGCAUGUGUGAUAUACCUGUAUUGAAUACAACGACACCUACAUCAAAACGCACUGUGCGCUCUGUGCGCGUC